AAGGGGCGAACCUCCCAUGGCGACAGAUGGGGAUUUUUCACCGCUUCCACCAAAACAAGGCAGUCUGAUUCGAUGAUAAUGGGGUUGGAGGUCCAGUUUGAGUUGAUCAAAUGGUUGAGGGCGAAACACAGUGCUUGAGCCUCCACCUGCAAAGCAGAAGACGCAAGUACGGUCUCUGUAAUUCCUUCAACGAUAUAUCCUUUGUGAUCUCGACAAAUGAAGGCGAUUGAUCCUUGAUCACUGCCUGGCUUGAAAGCCCCAUCAACAUUCAUCUUCAGAACUCCGGGAUCAGGCGGACGCCAUAAGCUA
rnacentral:lncRNA from 1 species